UUGUGUUGUGAAGCAAAGGCAGAAGAGAAGAAAGGAAUAAAACUAAAUCCAGGAAAAUUAAGAGAGAGAGAUGUUUGCGUAUGUAUGCAUAUCAUGUAUGUAUGUAUGCGUAUGUAUGAGAUGUUGUUCCUUGAUAGUAUACAUUGGAAAACGAUAGAUGAGAAAGGGCAAAAUCGUAACUCGGUCUAUUCCAAAAACAUUUUAAGGGUUUUUUAUUCCAAAAACAUACAUUCCAGUUGCAGCCUAAAUUUGUUAUUUUUCGCAUUUCGUGCACCACGCAAAGUAACCCAUGCAGCGAAUAUAAAAUGGUUUACUGCUACAGUCAUUGAUAUCGCUUAAGUAAUUAGCAAGGCACUAAUUUAACUAAUUAGUUUUUUGUUGACUAUUGAAAUUAUAGGUUUAUAGCUCAAAUAACUGAUAUAUGUAAUAAAUUUUUUUUUGAAAAGAUGUAUUAUAUAUAUAUAUUAACAAACAAUAUUUUAUUAAUUUAGUAGUUGAAACUUUGAAAUGUAAAUUAAUGAGUUAUACCCGAUCAUUUCCAUAGAUAAAAUAUACUACUUAAAAAUAAUGUAUACUUAGCAAUAUGAAUUAUGCAGAUUUAGAUAUUACAUGAAUAUAAACCACUAAAAUUUUGUUGACAUAAACAUGUAUAAUCUUUAAUGGUUGUAAAUAUAUAUACAGAUUUAUUUAUAUACAUGGAGAACAAAUUUUAAAUUUACCUUAUUUAAACCUAAAAAUCUUUUGGUAUAUGGUUAAAACUUACAUGUUCACAGAUUAUGAUGAGAAUGUUGAUUAAAAAAGUUGGAGAAGAGUACAAGAAAAGAGAGAAUAAAGGGUUGCUCUCUUCUGUCCUAUCUAAUCUAUAGUCAAGGCCAAAGCCAAAGUUAAAUAGCUAAAUAAAAGAUUAUAAGAAAAAAGAAAAAACAAAGACAAAACAUUUAAAAUAGUAUUUUUUUUUUAAACUAGUGCUUUGAUUUUGGUACCCGGAGACGACGGGAUACGUACAAUUAGAGAGAGAAAGGAACUGUCUCCUCUCUGACUGUUUUUUUUAUUUUCUCUCCCCCACUCUCUUCGCUUCUCACUUCACUCUCUGUUUACAUCUUUGUUAUAUUUAUUUAUUUAAUUUCUUUUAUACGAUUUUGGGAUCAAACAAAUUCAAAUUUCUGACCGUAUAUUGUUCAACUAUACCUAAAGAGAUAUACAUUAAAUAUCCGUCCCUCCUUGAGUUUAUGAAGAGUAAUAUAGAGUAUAGACAUUUAGUUCGAAGAUAUAUGUAGACUACAAAAUCAACAGGUGUUGUUUGACCAAUUUGUGAAGUCUAUUAAGACCAAAUUAAGCUGAUCUGUCACUUUAAAGUAAUCACGUAAUUUUAAAAUAUGUAUAUGUAGUAGGCUAUAUUACGAAUCUUCAAAUUGUUUGAUUAUUGUGUAUCAUAAACUUAUGCCUAAGAAUUAGUGUUAUUCAUCCCACUUGAUUUAGAAUAUAUAUUUUGUGUUUUGUUUUCUUAUAAAGGGUAACAUACUUUGUGUAUUUUGCCUUCCAAAUGUGGGGAAAAAGUUGUCUUACAAAAAAGUACCUUUCUCUUCAAAUGCACUCAUACAUGCAUGAUACCCAUACGACACACAUUCGUGUGUACAAUACAAUGUUCUCCGUGUUUAUAGUAGGUACAUAAACCAUGUCUCAUAUAAGAAUUCUCUCUAUUAUUUUUUGGUAAAAUUCUCUCUAUUAUUGUAACGCAUAAUUGCUAGAUUGAUAUAUGUAUAUGUACAUAUAUAAUUAUAUUUUAUCAUACCUAAGAAAAGAUCAGCCAGAAAGUAUAUUUUGUUUGUUUCCUUGAGUAAGCAAACACAAGUAAACUCUAAAGAACCUAAAGAUUUUCUUCUAAUUCCCUUUUCAUUCUCCCAAAUAUUCCUUCUCAGUUAAAAAAAAAACUCUUUCUAUAUUUCUUUGAGUUGCCUCUAAGAAAGUAUUAGCUAUUCUUUCCUCAUAUGAUUAUUUAUAUAAGAUAAUUUUUUUCUUCAUUGACCGGAUACAUAUUUUACAUAAUAUGAAAAGAUUAAAUUUAUUUUUGACAAAGCGGUUUACUUUAUUAUUUAGUUUGUUACAACCCAAAUUAGAUAGAUUCUGUGUAGAUGAAAAUAUAUCAACUUUUAUAUAGUAUAGAUUUUUUAGAAGAAAAAAUUCAUCUAGUUUUUUUUUUCCUCUUUUUACCUUUUUAAUGACAUGGCUAUUAUUUUGAAUCAUUGAUACAAGAGACAAUAUAAAUAAAAAUUCAGUUAAAAUUAUGUCAAAAGCAACGUUAAAAGCAUAUACAAUUGGUAGUCUUAUGCGCAAAGAGGACAAAAAAAGAGUACACCACUUGUCCAAAAUGAAAUUCCUUGGAUAAAAGAACUAUAUAUUUCUAUUAUAUAUGAAACUAGGCCACGAUGAAUGGCCAUGUAGAAAAUUGACGAAACUGGCUUAGCUAACUUUCUCUGGGAAAACAGCUAUUUCUUAAAAAGCAGGAACUCUAUUAUUUUCCUACCAAAUUAAAGCCUACGUACGUGUCUUCUAUUAAUUAGUUGCUAAUUUUAGAGAUAUAAAUAACGUUGGUCCAUCAUAUUGCAUGUACAUUGUCUUAUGUCUUUAAUUUAUAAGUUUUAUAUAUUGGCUCAAAGUCUCUAUAGUUAUAUACUACGUGCAUUUCGCAUUCAUUAAUGAUUUGGAGUCUUUUGACUACUGUCAGUAAUCAGACAUAACUGAGAUAAGUAUGUGAAUUGACACUCUUGUCAAAACGGUAUAACUAAGACAUUAGUUUUUUUCUAGGGGUUUUACUAAGAAAAAGCAUAAUUAGUGAAUGCCUAUAUAUUAACUGUUCCGUAGAUGGGUAUGUAAACGUGUAAUAAUAUCAAUGCAUGGACACAAACGUACGUCGGUGAGUGAGAUCCAAUAAGACAAGUAAUUACUGUUUUAUUUGAAAUUUAUUGGAGUAUUUUAUUUAUUUUUUAUGAAAAUAAAUUAUCACCAUGCCAGAUUUCAAAAAAAUAAAAAUUAUCACUGCACGCAUUAAAUGGAUCCAACAGAACAUGAGGUUCUAUAUUGUCUAAAUUAAUAUUUUACACCUUUUUGGAAUAUAUCGGAGAAUGAAAGACUCCGUUGAUUCUACCAAUUCGUUGACGUUCAUAUCUCUAAACUACUAUUUGUCACAUAUUUGAUUUUUUUUUAUCUUUUUACUUAAUUGUUAGUAUCUAUUUUAAACUUUCUACCUUGUACAUAUAAAUCUACAUCUUUGUCAAAUAAGGAAUCUAACUGAUGAACAUUACAGUAACAUUAUGAAAGAGUAGAGAAAAAAUACAGAGGAAUAAUAUUAGAUGAAUAAAAAAGAAAAUGAUUCUUUAUCAAUUUUAGUGAAAAACAAAUUUGUUUUAUAUUUUUUUAAAAUAAAAAGAAUGAGAAUAAAUACAAAGGAAAAGCAAUUCAUUGUAAAUGGUAAAAAAAAAUUAGGAAUAGUAAGUAAUGCAUUAUUCCCUUUCAUUCUGUGGUCACCAGUUACACCCAAAGAAUUUUGAUUUAACUUUUUUAAUGGACCCACAUGUUUCUUGCAUUAUGAAAAAAAUUGUCACACAUUUUUAAUAUUAGUUAAUUAUACUAUUACAUUAAAGAAGUAGUUAAUUUCAAAUCAAUUCUCUAAAACAAUCACUUGGAGCCACUCUUUAAAUGGAAAACUAAUAGCGAUUCAUACAAGCUUAGAAUUAACUUUAGAAUCAUACACAAUAUAUUACAUAAAUAGAUUUACACUAGUCAAUUUUACCUCAUCAAAUUUACGUCUAAAUGUAUCAUUCUGAAUCGUCUUAUAUAGAUCCACAUAUAACGGUUCUAUUUGCAUCAUGAUGAAUGAUCUCUUAUAUAUAUUUUCUCCAUUUAUCUACAUAAUUUCAAGAUUCGAAAACCAAUCUCUAAAAUAAAAAAUAUAUUAAUAAACCAUCGGCAAACCACUAAACUAACUUCCAUGUUAUCAUAGAGAGGAAAAUUUUGGGCUAAAAAGGUUUUUUGCACACUUAAUUUUCUUAUUGAGAAGAGAAAAUUGAUGUUCGUUAAGAAUUAUAAGAGAAAUAAUCGAAUCCACUGGAGCGCUUUGCAAAGUGUUUUCUUGUGUAGCAUCUCAAAUUUCUAGUAAGCAUAAGUUCUUACAAACAACGUUUGUGUAAAAACAAGGACAACUAGGGUAAACGCGAAUCAUUUUGGUACCUCCUAGACAUUAGACAAUGUAUGGAUUGGAGUAUAAAAGAAUUCCUUUAUUUUAUGGGUCAAAUAUUUCAGCUAUUAGUAAUUACAUAAAUUUCAUGAAAAACAUGGUGAUAUCUAUUUCGUCUUAUGCGGAAAGCUUUUCCAACCAAAAAAAACAUUAAUUGGUUUUUCAUUUUGCAAUGAGAAUAGCCCAACAUGAUUCGUUCAUCACAUUAUCUCAUAAAGAAUGUAUAUAAUAUGCUUUCUCACUUCUAUUUUCAUUUUUUUCUUUCCUUUCACUUUCACCGUGCAAAAUUAUCCCUCUCAAGUCUCAAGUGGCAUUCUAGUUGGAGAAUAAAGGGAAUGCUUAAAGUCUUUCAUAUUUUUGUUUAAAGAACCCAAAAACUACUUUUAUGCUUUACGUCUUUUGAAAUAUAAUCUUAGGGAUAGUUUCAAAAAAUAUAUAAAAAAAGGGUUAUAUUGGACCCAUCGCUUUUAGAUAUGCAAAUAGCAAAAUUUCUAGAGUUGUGAAUUACAUUAUUUCAUUCUCUUCCAAUCUCAAAAGGAACGAAACAAAAAUUUGAAAUUAUUAUCCCCUUUUACAUUUUGUAAAGAUAUAGCAAAUAUAUAUUUACUAUCACAUAUUGAAGCUAACUGGGUGAAUUUUUAAAUAUAAUUCACUUCAAACUUUCUUUUUUUAAAGAAGCUAGUGAAACUAUUUCGAAAACAUAAAAAUAUUUGUACUUACAAAAUAAUUUACUGGAAAAGCUAUCACAAUUCAUUGGAGAAUAUAAAGUUUGAUCACUGGCUAGUAAUCAAUCUACCAAUAAUACGACACAUCAUUUUUGUAAGGUAUCUAUCAAAAUUUGACGAAAUUUCUUAGUGCAUAAAAUUGUUGAUCACUAGCUAGUAAUCAAUUAAUUUUCUUGUAAUCAAUUAAUUUUAUCAGAAGUAUGUUUUUAUUUUCAGCUUUGUUGUAAAUAAAUAAAUAAAAAAUCUAUACAAAAUGAUAAAAUAGAAACAGAAGUUAAAGAGAAAAUAUUGGUACUACACUCCAACAAAUAACUUAUCAAAUAUAACUAAAAUCACAUGUAUGUAUAUAACAUAUUAAUCACUCAAUGAUGUAUUUGCAAAACUUCUAGAAUACUAGUGAUUUUUGUUACAAAAGAAAUUGAAACAAGACUUUUGAUCAACAUUCUUUUUGGGUCACAAUUAUCGUCAAUACUAAAAGAAUAGAAAUCCAUGUUAUAUUUUUUUUGUUUCGCGUAAAAUUGGUUAUUCUAUACCAACUGUUUUCUCUUCGGGGUGGUGGGAGAUGGGGCCUAAGGAAUUGGCAAAAUUGUACCAUGGGUUGGUUCAAACGCAAUGGACAAGACCGAAGAUUGGGAAAGAAUGAGAUAUGGCAUGAAGGUGUUGUAGUUGUCUCAUUAACCAACAACAGUCAUAGAGAGAUAUGUGAUGUAUAUUGAUCAUGAGAGGGUCCAUAUCAUUAUAUUUAUAUUGGGUGAAUAUAUCAUGUAACGUCAAUUCUCUAUGUCUAUAUAUUGUUAUUAUGAUUAAUAAAUAGUAAGAAUAUUAUGAGGGAGAAAGAGCACACAAAACCAAAGAAUGUACUGUGACACCCACCAACAUCGCGUAACUAUGAUACAUAUGUGUACUUACCAUAGCGACAAGGUUCUAAUCCAUACCGGGGUGAACAUGUAUUCUUGUCGCUUUGAUUUUUCUUGCAACCUCUUCUCAGGUUUCUAUUUAUUAGGUUUAACAAUAUUUUCUUGUUAGGCAUCUACCGAUAGCCUUUUCCGACUAAUAACAGCUUAGUAGUUAUUAACCAUAAAUUGUUUCUAGUCAGGUUCUUGAUUGCACUAAAAUGACAAAAUUUCAAGUCAUGAUAAUAAAAUUAGCUAAUACUUUUUAUUUCAGUCGUCGUGAAACUGAAUCAUGUGUUGCGAAUGAAUGAUUAAAGCUUUGAAUGAUCAGCGAUAACAGCAACGUCAAACACAAAUUACACAAUAUAUAUAAACACACACAUUUAUGAGAGCUUUUAUAACAAAAUUUAUCCAUAAACCCCGUCACAUUUAUGGUUUUUUUUUUUUGAAAAAAACACAUUUAUGGUUUUUUCAGUAGGUGUGAAACCUAAAUGAGCUUUUCUCGCAAGAUGUUAUAAAGUGGGAACUAAAUAAAAUUUUGAGAUAAGUGUAGGAAUAUCUCAAAUUCGAAUCUGCAAAGUCAUCUUAAAUGAUAAAUGGAUCAAAAAGCUUAAAUAAUUGAUGUAAGUUUAAGGUUAAGAGAGAUAGAGAGAGAGAGAGGAGCAACUCAAACAAAAGAGUAAUAAAUGAGAGACAGGAGGGCACAAGACUUUUCUGCCCAUUGCAGAAAAGAUAGCCUGAUGUGAGAGGUGAUGAAAUCAUUUUGUAAUCGAUUGCUUUAUGAUUGCUCCUUUCAUUUUAUUUUUUUCCUUCAAAAAUAUAGAGAUGCAUUUAUUAACAAGUGAAAAAGUUAUCGUUGGGUUGGAUUUUUUUUGUUCAGAAAAAAAGUGCUGGAUUUUUUUCUUUCUCUAAAGCUGAUUAAAGUAGAAGAGAAAAAAGUAUAUAUUCAAUAAACAAAGUGCUUUUACCAAAGCUUUUUCCCCUCUGUGUUUUCACUUAAUAAAUGUGGAGUAUUAUUUAUUGCUGACAAAUAAAAAUAUAUAUACAUGAUAAAGUCAUGAGAUGAAAAAAGCAAAAGUUACAAAAAAGCUGCAAGAUGAUGAAGGUAUAAUGACUAAAUAAUAAUCGAAUGCAUGCAUGCAUUGCUAUUCAGUAUUCUUAUAUACGCACAACACAUACCAAAGUAACUUUUUACUAACUUCUGAUGACUCGCUUGUUUCAACCCUUCAAACAUUUACUUAUUCUUCUGCUUUAUAUUCACUUCACAAACCUUCUCCCAAACUAUGUGAUGCUUCUUUAAAUUCCAAAGUAGAUGUGUGUGUGUGUAUAUUAUUUACGCAUAGAAACAUGUAUGCCAUGCAUGUCAAUCUUAUCAUGUAGAUUUUUAUUUAUAACUUAUGUGGUUAAACUCCAAACCAAUGUCUAGUACCAAUUCCGAUUGUCAUGUGGAACAACAAUGAAUUUGACUUUUAUCUUUUUUUUUGAACUUAAAAAAAGAAGAAGAUAAAGUCAAAUUCGAUUACCAAGGUGAUUUCUCAACCACUAACUUUUUUAACAUUAAAGUUUAGUUGAAUCAAAGAAUUUCAAAAUAGUUUUAAACUGGUAAAGUUUGGUCUAAGCUCUAAAUUAAUUAGGAAUGUGAAUCUCAAAUCAUAACUACAAAUGAAAUUGAUAAAUAAAUAUAAUCUGACACUAAAAAGUUUAGUGACCAAGUAAAAUAUAAUAAGACUAGUGUAGUUUUUUUAUAAAAUGGUUUUCAAGACUAAUGUAGUUCGAUUUAUUGAUAGUUUCGUUACCCUCUUCGUUACUUUUUUUGUACAACAGAAAUUUCAGUAAGAAAAGUUUAGUACACAACCCUCUUCGUCUCCUAUAUACUCUUUGUUUAGCUCAUUGUAGAAACGGGCCCAAAAGAGAUGUUAUCAAUCCUUCCUUUAUUUAUCCAUCUUCGGUUACCGUCGAGUCGGGUCUAGUUUGGGCCGCCUGGCGCCUAGUAAUGGAGAAGUUUGUAAGCUUCGGUUUAAGUUAAUGUCAAAAACUUGACUAAACCGAGACUUGAAUCUUGUAAUAACAUAUAGAUUCUGAAAUAGAACAAAGUAAAAGCUAGGGAAAAGAACUACUAUUAUUUCUUGGAAAUAGUUUAAAUCAAACAUUCUUAAACAAAGAACA